GAUGAACGCUGGCGGCGUGCCUAAUACAUGCAAGUCGAGCGAACGGACGAGAAGCUUGCUUCUCUGAUGUUAGCGGCGGACGGGUGAGUAACACGUGGAUAACCUACCUAUAAGACUGGGAUAACUUCGGGAAACCGGGGCUAAUCCCGGAUAAUAUUUUGAACCGCAUGGUUCAAAAGGGAAAGACGGUCUUGCUGUAACUUAUAGAGGGAUCCGCGCUGCAUUAGCUAGUUGGUAAGGUAACGGCUUACCAAGGCAACGAUGCAUAGCCGACCUGAGAGGGUGAUCGGCCACACUGGAACUGAGACACGGUCCAGACUCCUACGGGAGGCAGCAGUAGGGAAUCUUCCGCAAUGGGCGAAAGCCUGACGGAGCAACGCCGCGUGAGUGAUGAAGGUCUUCGGAUCGUAAAACUCUGUUAUUAGGGAAGAACAUAUGUGUAAGUAACUGUGCACAUCUUGACGGUACCUAAUCAGAAAGCCACGGCUAACUACGUG
rnacentral:rRNA from 1 species